UCUAGGGCGACCCCGGAAUCUGAAGGAAAUUGGCGGCAAAUCUCCGCCUUUAGGAACAUGAACUUCAAUAGAAGGCUAGGUUAUACUUGGAUGAGAUUGCCGAACAAAUCAAAGUCCAUACUGCCAAAGGGUAUACAGAGUAAAUGGUGUUGAGAUAUGGAGAGGAAGAAUGUGCG
rnacentral:ncRNA from 1 species